UUUAUACUCCCUCCGUUCGGAAUUACUUGCCGCAGAAAUGGAUGUAUCUAGACGCAUUUUAGUUCUAGAUAUAUCCAUUUCCGAGACAAGUAAUUCCGAACGGAGGGAGUAGGUA
rnacentral:pre_miRNA from 1 species